rnacentral:rRNA from 1 species
ACUCCUACGGGAGGCAGCAGUGGGGAAUAUUGCACAAUGGGCGCAAGCCUGAUGCAGCCAUGCCGCGUGUAUGAAGAAGGCCUUCGGGUUGUAAGUACUUUCAGCAGUGAGGAAGGUGGGUAUGUUAAUAGCAUACUCAUUUUGACGUUUUAGCUGCAGAAGAAGCACCGGCUAACUCCGUGCCAGCAGCCGCGGUAAUACGGAGGGUGCGAGCGUUAAUCGGAAUUACUGGGCGUAAAGCGCAUGCAGGUGGUUUGUUAAGUCAGAUGUGAAAGCCCGGGGCUCAACCUCGGAAUUGCAUUUGAAACUGGCAAACUAGAGUACUGUAGAGGGGUAGGAAUUCAGGUGUAGCGGUGAAAUGCGUAGAGAUCUGAA